rnacentral:piRNA from 1 species
AUCGUAGGCUCGAAUGUGGUACC